AUACGGAAGGUCCGGGCGUUAUCCGGAUUUAUUGGGUUUAAAGGGAGCGCAGGCGGAGAUGCAAGCGUGACGUCAAAUUUCGGGGCUCAACCCCGUCUCGCGUCGCGAACUGCGUCCCUUGGUUGCGGGAAGGGGAGGCGGAACUCGUGGUGUAGCGGGGAAAUGCAUAGAUAUCACGAAGAACUCCGAUCGCGAAGGCAGCCUUCCGGCCCGUCAACGACGCUCAUGCUCGAAGGUGCGGGUAUCAAACAGGAUUAGAUACCCUGGUAGUCCGCACAGUAAACGAUGGACACCCGCGGUUUGGCCUAUAUGGCUGAGCCGCCAAGCGAAAGCGUUAAGUGUCCCACCUGGGGAGUACGCCGGCAACGGUGAAACUCAAAUGAAUUGGCGGGG
rnacentral:rRNA from 1 species